GCCGGGCGCCCGCCGCCCGGGCGACGGGCCGGCGGCCGGCUCCAUCGCGACUACAUUCAGGAAAAGUGUCGAUAAGCGCGACGGUCAUCCGUUAUGAACUGUCCGAGUGUCGCACGGCUUCGCAUCCCGGACGCGACAGGUUAGAACCUGACCGCUGGUUACGUCCUUCAGCUGUGGGCGACACGGCCGGGCCGGCGGCGGCGGCGGUGUGACGAGGUUAGGAGACGGCGCCGCCGGGCGGACAGACAGAGACGACGAGCCAAAUCACAACAAACAGCAGCGGCUGCAGCAGCAGGCCGAGGAGCGGCGGAAGUGACGAUACCCCUCGAGCCUGCCGCCCAUCCUCGGACCCGCGUGACGAUACCCCGCGAGGCACGGCGCGAUGGUCGAGAGGACAGUAGUGCACUUGGACGCGCGUGACUUCGUACACUGAUUCGGUCGACCUGCCGGUCCGUCACGUGUACUAUCUCUCGCACUUCACCGGGCGGCGGUCGCCAUGCGGUCCAUUGCGCGGAGGCUCAACGAUAUCUAU